UGAAAGAAUGAAUGUCCGUGCAGUCCUGAGCACACAGUAAGGUUUUCCCAGUCACUACCUCAUCUGAUGCUCUCU
ensembl:snoRNA